CCUACGGGAGGCAGCAGUGGGGAAUAUUGGACAAUGGGCGAAAGCCUGAUCCAGCCAUGCCGCGUGUGUGAAGAAGGCCUUCGGGUUGUAAAGCACUUUCAGUGGGGAAGAAAGCCUUGGGGCUAAUACCCUCGAGGAAGGACAUCACCCACAGAAGAAGCACCGGCUAACUCCGUGCCAGCAGCCGCGGUAAUACGGAGGGUGCGAGCGUUAAUCGGAAUUACUGGGCGUAAAGCGCGCGUAGGCGGUCUGAUAAGCCGGUUGUGAAAGCCCCGGGCUCAACCUGGGAACGGCAUCCGGAACUGUCAGGCUAGAGUACAGGAGAGGAAGGUAGAAUUCCCGGUGUAGCGGUGAAAUGCGUAGAGAUCGGGAGGAAUACCAGUGGCGAAGGCGGCCUUCUGGACUGACACUGACGCUGAGGUGCGAAAGCGUGGGUAGCAAACAGGAUUAGAUACCCCUGUAGUC
rnacentral:rRNA from 1 species